UACGUAGGGGGCAAGCGUUGUCCGGAUUUAUUGGGCGUAAAGAGCGUGUAGGCGGCCAGGUAGGUCAGCUGUGAAAACUCGAGGCUCAACCUCGAGACGCCGGUUGAAACCAUCUGGCUAGAGUCCGGAAGAGGAGAGUGGAAUUCCUGGUGUAGCGGUGAAAUGCGCAGAUAUCAGGAAGAACACCCGUGGCUAAGGCGGCUCUCUAGUACGGUACUGACGCUGGGACGCGAAAGCGUGGGGAGCGAACAGG
rnacentral:rRNA from 1 species